rnacentral:misc_RNA from 1 species
AACGCACAUGGCGCCCUCCGGCAUCCCGGGGGGCAUGCCUGUCCGAGCGUCGUUUCAACCCUCGAGCCCUCCGUGGCCCGGCGUUGGGGAUCUCCGGCUCCGGCCGUAGGCCCCGAAAUACAGUGGCGGACCCGCGACGGCCCCUCCUUUGCGCAGUAGCACUAGCCUCGCAUCGGGAGCCCGCGGGCGCUCCGGCCUCUAAACCCCACUUUUAAAGCCCGUCUCCGGCGGCACCAAGGUUGACCUCGGAUCAGGUAGGAAUACCCGCUGAACUUAA